AGUGAACGCUGGCGGUAGGCCUAACACAUGCAAGUCGAACGGCAGCACAGGAGAGCUUGCUCUCUGGGUGGCGAGUGGCGGACGGGUGAGGAAUACAUCAGAAUCUACCUUUUCGUGGGGGAUAACGUAGGGAAACUUACGCUAAUACCGCAUACGACCUACGGGUGAAAGUGGGGGACCGCAAGGCCUCACGCGAUUAGAUGAGCCGAUGUCCGAUUAGCUAGUUGGCGGGGCAAUGGCCCACCAAGGCGACGAUCGGUAGCUGGUCUGAGAGGAUGAUCAGACACACUGGAACUGAGACACGGUCCAGACGCCUACGGGAGGCAGCAGUGGGGAAUAUUGGACAAUGGGCGCAAGCCUGAUCCAGCCAUACCGCGUGGGUGAAGAAGGCCUUCGGGUUGUAAAGCCCUUUUGUUGGGAAAGAAAUCCUAUCGGUUAAUAACCGGUGGGGAUGACGGUACCCAAAGAAUAAGCACCGGCUAACUUCGUGCCAGCCGCCGCCGUAAUAC
rnacentral:rRNA from 1 species